UUAAGAUGAAGAAGAACAGCUAUUAUGGUGGCUAUUAUGGCAGCUAUUAUGGCAGUUAUUAUGGUAAGAAGGAAGAGGCGAAACCCGAAGCAUGAGUAAGCAGCAUGAACCAUCUGAAAAACUGCAUAAUGUUUUGUAUUUUAUGUCCGGAGCGAUGGUGGUCAUUCUUGUGCUGAUCAUUGUGGUUGGUGUAAAGACGAAGGCGCAGAAUGCGUUUCGCCAGGAGACGGUGGACUACGGACCACAGGCGGAAGUGCCGGAU
rnacentral:misc_RNA from 1 species